rnacentral:rRNA from 1 species
AAAUUGAAGAGUUUGAUCAUGGCUCAGAUUGAACGCUGGCGGCAGGCCUAACACAUGCAAGUCGAACGGUAACAGGAAGAAGCUUGCUUCUUUGCUGACGAGUGGCGGACGGGUGAGUAAUGUCUGGGAAACUGCCUGAUGGAGGGGGAUAACUACUGGAAACGGUAGCUAAUACCGCAUAACGUCGCAAGACCAAAGAGGGGGACCUUCGGGCCUCUUGCCAUCGGAUGUGCCCAGAUGGGAUUAGCUAGUAGGUGGGGUAACGGCUCACCAAGGCGACGAUCCCUAGCUGGUCUGAGAGGAUGACCAGCCACACUGGAACUGAGACACGGUCCAGACUCCUACGGGAGGCAGCAGUGGGGAAUAUUGCACAAUGGGCGCAAGCCUGAUGCAGCCAUGCCGCGUGUAUGAAGAAGGCCUUCGGGUUGUAAAGUACUUUCAGCGGGGAGGAAGGGAGUAAAGUUAAUACCUUUGCUCAUUGACGUUACCCGCAGAAGAAGCACCGGCUAACUCCGUGCCAGCAGCCGCGGUAAUACGGAGGGUGCAAGCGUUAAUCGGAAUUACUGGGCGUAAAGCGCACGCAGGCGGUUUGUUAAGUCAGAUGUGAAAUCCCCGGGCUCAACCUGGGAACUGCAUCUGAUACUGGCAAGCUUGAGUCUCGUAGAGGGGGGUAGAAUUCCAGGUGUAGCGGUGAAAUGCGUAGAGAUCUGGAGGAAUACCGGUGGCGAAGGCGGCCCCCUGGACGAAGACUGACGCUCAGGUGCGAAAGCGUGGGGAGCAAACAGGAUUAGAUACCCUGGUAGUCCACGCCGUAAACGAUGUCGACUUGGAGGUUGUGCCCUUGAGGCGUGGCUUCCGGAGCUAACGCGUUAAGUCGACCGCCUGGGGAGUACGGCCGCAAGGUUAAAACUCAAAUGAAUUGACGGGGGCCCGCACAAGCGGUGGAGCAUGUGGUUUAAUUCGAUGCAACGCGAAGAACCUUACCUGGUCUUGACAUCCACGGAAGUUUUCAGAGAUGAGAAUGUGCCUUCGGGAACCGUGAGACAGGUGCUGCAUGGCUGUCGUCAGCUCGUGUUGUGAAAUGUUGGGUUAAGUCCCGCAACGAGCGCAACCCUUAUCCUUUGUUGCCAGCGGUCCGGCCGGGAACUCAAAGGAGACUGCCAGUGAUAAACUGGAGGAAGGUGGGGAUGACGUCAAGUCAUCAUGGCCCUUACGACCAGGGCUACACACGUGCUACAAUGGCGCAUACAAAGAGAAGCGACCUCGCGAGAGCAAGCGGACCUCAUAAAGUGCGUCGUAGUCCGGAUUGGAGUCUGCAACUCGACUCCAUGAAGUCGGAAUCGCUAGUAAUCGUGGAUCAGAAUGCCACGGUGAAUACGUUCCCGGGCCUUGUACACACCGCCCGUCACACCAUGGGAGUGGGUUGCAAAAGAAGUAGGUAGCUUAACCUUCGGGAGGGCGCUUACCACUUUGUGAUUCAUGACUGGGGUGAAGUCGUAACAAGGUAACCGUAGGGGAACCUGCGGUUGGAUCACCUCCUUACCUUAAAGAAGC